rnacentral:lncRNA from 1 species
UAUAAUCACCCUCUAUUUAUCUUAGUGUCCAUCUCUAUGUAAUUCCACAGGGCCAAUCAUCGGCAACACCACACAAAUUUAGAUAUUUUUCAUACAAUAUCAAAUCACAUACUAAGGUCUAAGCUUCGAUACACAUGGCCACAUCUUGAUUCAAAACACUACUACCAUCAAUAUGGCUUGAAUCAGCAAAAGCAAAAACAUCAAAAAUUUACAAAAGUUAAAUGGCCCAAAUCUAAUAGAUGGUCUUUAAAAAAUAAUCAAGAUGAAAUUAAUGACGGUAAGAGCCAAUACUAACACUCACUGAAGAAUCGCAGAAAACAUGGAGAAUUCUUCACGCCCGUCGCCGAUGUUUGGAUUAGAGGAAAAAGCGAUGCCGAUCUACCCCUUCUCGCCGCCUCCCUGUGUCAACGCUGUCAACACUCCUCUCCUCUCCUCGCGGCGAUUUCCCCUUCCCAAACUAAAGCUUCGCACAUGGAGGAGGGACGGUUUAUGAAGCAGAGCUUCGCACAUCAUCCCCCACCCCUCCAAAGUCUGUCAAGUUGAACGACACAUGUUUCAUAUCUUGGCGGCGGCGGUGGAGGACUCGACAAUGGCUCCCAAUCCGUGUACACCUUUAAUCGUCUCUGGAUGUCGCUUCUCCAACCCUAGCCGCGACGACGGAAGAUAGAUCGGAUCUGGGAGGGGGGGG